UACGUAGGGUGCAAGCGUUAAUCGGAAUUACUGGGCGUAAAGCGUGCGCAGGCGGCUUUGCAAGACAGAUGUGAAAUCCCCGGGCUUAACCUGGGAACUGCAUCCGAGACUGCAUGGCUAGAGUAUGGGAGAGGGAAGUGGAAUUUCAGGUGUAGCGGUGAAAUGCGUAGAUAUCUGAAGGAACAUCAGUGGCGUAGGCGACUCGCUGGGCCAGUACCGACACUGAGGCGCGACAGCGUGGGGAGCAAACAGG
rnacentral:rRNA from 1 species